UACUACUUGUUACAAAAUGCCUUUUGAAACUGUCUCUUUAAAUGACAAAUUGCCCUGCUUCCCUGUAUUCUGGAGAAGUCUUAUUGCCAGCCUCCUUCCUAAUGACUAUGGCCCUGAUGUGUAUGGCCAUUUAAGAACAGUCUGUGAGCAUAUUGGGGCUUAUGGACUUUUAUGGGACUAGUGCUGGCCCUUUAAGCACAUUUUUGGGACAUAGGGAAAAUUGGGACAAUGCCCCUCUAAGACAGUGUCCCCAGACUUGUUUGGGACACUGCCCUUUUAAGCCUGUGUCCCCCCGAUUUGAUUAAAAUCCUUUGUUCCUGGCUAUUUUCCACUUGGUUCAGUAAAUGGGGCUUACUGAACCAAGCACCACACAGGCAGACCACCCAGAAGUGGAAGUGUGCAGGCAAUUUACCUCCCAGGCUGGGGGAUUGCUGUAGGUAAAUUGCCGACCGCUGGGUGGCCACAGUUCGUGCAAACGAACACGUGGCUGUGUCCAUCUUUGUUCAUUCGAACGAGGUCAGCGGUAGGUGUAGCCAAAUUCAUGGAACUGAAAUCGGCUACACAUUUCAACGAACACCGCUGACCCUUACCUUCUCCUACACUGAAUUUUCAGCUGCAGAGACUAAGUCCCAUUCAGCAAUUCGAAUGGGACUUAGUCAUUUUUCGUCAUAAAAUUGACCGGCCGCACAGCCCAAAUCUAGGGAACUGUUUUGGGCAGGAAAAUGUGCUUGCGGUCGGUCAUAAAGGACUUCUGUCUAACUUUUUAUCUAUUUGAGGGAUUUGUAUGAUUUUUGGUUAUGUUUAUAUUUAAAGUAUGCUGAUUCUGAAUGUCAUUUUUAUGAAGCUUGGGUGUAUAUUUUUAAAGUUACAGUGUAUGUAUAAAAAGUAUUUUUCCUGCCUGUGAUAAUUACUUUAACCCAUUUUGUUCAGUAAUUAUAUCACAGGCAGAGAGGAGGAUUUGUGUGUUAUUGAUGGGUGUGUUUUUACUGUAUGUUACGUGUUUAUUGGUUGUUCUGCAAAACCCUGUGGGCGGUCCUGUGUGUGUAAGACAUCCAUAAAAGAAAGCCCUUUGGUGCCAAUAAAACAGAAUGACUUGACCCUCUAACUUGCAACCUCGACUCAUGUUUGUAGGGGACAGCUAUAAUCACUACAGGGAUUGCUAUACUCUUCAUACUCACUUAGCUACUGAGCUCUUGAUCCUGAUCCUGCUUCGCUCUACAGAAGGAAGAUGUUCACCUACUGGAACCUGGUUGUAGGUCCAGGGUGGAUAGCAGACAGCGAGAUCCUAGCCCAGCAGCGGCGGGUCGUGGAGUCUGCAGUGCUUGUAGUGUGCUGAUGGUCCUUUGGUGAACGCUACGGUCCAAC